rnacentral:lncRNA from 1 species
CCCUGCUCCUCAUAAGUAUCUCUAACACCUCAAAGAAAAUUCUUAUUAAUAAUUAAGGAAAAAAAAACUAGGGGUUACUAGGCCAAACCCCAAAAGAACAAAUAUUACAAAUAACUGUCUGAUUAAAUUCCAAAAUAGGAAAAAUCAAUAGGAUAAAACUCAGUAAAGGAAAAAACCACGCAGUGCAUAAAAAUACAAUUAAAUUGAAAGGGCAUAGAAACAUAAAUCAAAUUUUAAAGCAAAAUAUAGAAGUUUAAAGUAAAAUAUAGAAGAAGAAAAAAAAAAAAAAAAAAACAUUAUGAGAUAUAAAUAAUGGGUAAAAUGCACUUUUAGCCCCCAAACUUUCUCAAUUGUUCGAAUUUGACUUGCUAGUUGCAAUUAUGUGAUUAUGGCCCCUCAUAUUCACCCUCCAUAAAGUACUCACAAAAUUUAUCUAUACACUUUAUAACUAGAGGUUUUAUCACCUGCGGACAACUUUCGUCAGAAACACAAGGAAUGUUGGCUGCAUUGUCAAAUAAGAAAGAAAAAAAAAUGGUUAAAAAUGUUGUGUAAGAGAGAAAACUAGAAAAAUUGAAAAUGUUGUUAAAAAUGUAAUACUUAUUUCUGCCUUUUCAACAAUAAAUUGAGAGAGAAGGAUGAUCAAAGCAUAAAGAAACACGAGGUAUUGAGCCAUAUUUUUC